rnacentral:lncRNA from 1 species
UCGGACACAUUGAGUACAUCCUAUACAUGUAUCAUAAAUCUUUACUGAAUGUGACAUUAUAUCUAUAGUAAUUGUUGAUGUUCAAAAAUGAAAAUUAUUGAUCUAGUAAACUCGUAAAUGAAUCGUAUAUUUAUAUACCAGAUGAAUCAAUGAUUUGUGAUAAUAUUGUUAACUGUUAAUAAAAAAAGGUGUCUAGAUAAAUUUAGAAGAGGGAAUAGAAGAGGACCAGGAUACUUUGAUUUCUUAUGAUUUAGGCAAUCCAAACAUGAUAUGAUCAUAAGUUGUGUCGAAUAAAUACUCAAAUGAAUUGAUUAAUAUUUCACUAUGUGAAAUUCGACUUUAUUAUUAAUUAUGAUAGGAUUAAUGCUAUUUAUUCAACAAAUUCGAUUGAUUGAUACGGGUUGAUUUUCUGUUACGAGCAAUUGAAGAAACAAUAGCCAGUCCGAUAGCCGCUUCAGCGGCUGCAAUAGCUAUAACAAAAAUUGAAAAAAUAUUUCCUUUUAAUUGGCGAUUAUCAAAAAAAUCAGAAAAAGUUACUAGAUUUAUAUUAACUGCAUUCAGUAUAAGUUCAAGACACAUAAGGGCUCUAACCAUAUUUCGGCUCGUGAUCAAUCCAUAGAUACCAAUAGAAAAUAAAUAGGCACUCAAAACAAGUACAUGUUCGAGCAUCAUUGACCAACUCCUUAUAAAUUUUGAUUCAUUAACAAAUAUAUCGGCAAUAAAAAAAAGAAUCUUGAUAAAACUCUUUCACUUCACAUAGAAUUCGACAGAAAUGAAUGUGAUAAAAUUGAAAAAAAAAAAGAAAAAUAAUAAAAAGACUGUUCUUAUUCAAAACGCCCUGUGAUCUUCAACCAAUUUUGUGCCUCAAUAUAAUUACCAGGGGUAAGGGCUAUAGCUUGUUUCCAAUAUUCAGCAGCUUGAUCAAACCAAGAUUCUGCAAUUUCAGAAUCUCCCUGUCGAAUGGCCUGUUCUCCGCGGUCGGAAUAGGUGAGUAAAAUCCUUCCCUUAGAACCGUACUUGAGAGUUUCCUGACUCAUACGGCUCAACAGUCAAUUCUUUUGAUCUUCCAUGGAGUUAAUAACAAGAAAAAGGUUAAUUACAUGAGUUUCAAACUUGCCUUUGGAUUAAUAAUUCAAUUUAAUCGUUUGUUUUUAGUUUUAUCUUUUCUCCUACCUUCUGAAGAAUAAAGCAUCGAUAUUAACACUAACGCUCUUAUUCUCAUUUUCUGAAAGGUAACUAUCUCGAUUUCAUAUAUCAUUUCAUAUAUAAUAUAUCUAUUUCUAUAGAAUCUUUGAGAAAGACUUUUCUUCAUAAGAAAAGACUUACUAUCUUUGGGAUCUGAUACUACACCGCUGCUCAAAACCUUAGGGGAUCAACUUUAUUACAUAAGUUGAUUUCUAAUCUAUCAUCAUAUAAGUAAGCAGUUCUUGUUGUAUCGGCCAAAAACCUUGUUAAUUGAUCUUUACGGUGCUUCCUCUAUCAAUUAGAUCUUUUAUCCAUAGAAAAAAGUAUCUAGGCAUAUAUAUUCUAUUUCUUCAUAUUUUUACUUCUAUGAAGUUUCUUUCAUACAGCUCAUAAAAAUCGUUGUUUCGAACGAUAUCUAUGUAACUUAAUUCUAAAUUUGGUUGAAUUAAUGAAGAACCAAAGAAUAUAGAAUCGCGAGAAUUUACUAGGACUCAUCAUCUUCUGAAUUUUGUUUAAUUUUCUUCUGAUUCUUCCUAUUGCUCCUAUUAUUUUUAUUUUGAUUCUCCGUAGCGUCGUGAUAAUGUAAUCCAUUGGAUAUUCUUCUCCUGAUCUCUUUUCGAAGAUCUCUUAUUAAAUUAAUGUGAAUUAACUUAAUUCUAAAUUUGGUUGAAUUAAUGAGUUGAAAAAGUCUUUGAAUUAAUUGUAUAAUAAUUUUGUUUAAUUUUCUUCUGAUUCUUCCUAUUGCUCCUAUUGUUUUUAUUUUGAUUCUUCGUAGCGUCGUGAUAAUGUUAUCCAUUCGAUCCUCCUAUUGUGAUCUAUUUUGAAUUAAUUGUAAAUGUGCAUGAACAUUAUGAAUAAUAUGAAACUAGAAAAAGUAUUCACAAUGUUUUUUUUUAAUCCAUCAAAAAUGAGAUGGAAUAGCUUCAACCUUGUCAACCGAAAAUGAGAAAAUGAAAUCGGGGUAAACACCAAUACCUAUUAUGAGUAUAAGGAUACAAAUAGAAAUAAAUAAUUCUCUGGGCCCAGAAUAAAAAAAAUUAGAGUUUGGUGUAUUCAAAAACUUAUAUCCAUAGAACAUCUGCCGUACGAUUGAUAAUAAAUAAAUCGAAGUUAAUAUCAUUCCAAUUGCUGUUACAAAAGUAAUUAGUAUUUUCAUCAUGAAAAGAUCAUUUUUGACUACUAAUUAUUCCAAAAAAACUAUCAAUUCUGCAACAAAACCGCUCAUGCCAGGCAAUGCAAGAGAAGCCAUUGAUAAGAUAGUAAAAAUUGUGAAUAUUUUUGGCAUUGGGAUAGCCAUUCCGCCCAUUUCGUCAAGAUAAAGAAGAUGCCACUCUAUCAUAACUAGUUCCUGCCAAGAAAAAAAGUGCAGCGCCAAUAAAUCCAUGAGAUAUGAUUUGUAAAAUGGCCCCGUUGAGACCAGUAUCACUUAUGGAACCAAUUCCUAUAAUUAGAAAGCCCAUAUGAGAUACCGAAGAAUAAGCUAUUCUUUUUUUUAGAUUACGUUGACCAAAAGAUGUUGAAGCGGCAUAGAUUAUUUGAAUAGAACCUAAUAUCAUUAACCAGGGGCAAAAUAUGGAAUGAGCAUGGGAAACCAAUUCCAUAUUAAUUCGAACCAACCCAUAUGCUCCCAGUUUUAAUAAUAUGCCGGCUAAAAGCAUACAAGUGCUGUAAUGUGCCUCUCCGUGGGUAUCUGGUAACCAUGUAUGUAAGGGCAUAAUUGGCGAUUUGACAGCAAAAGAAAUCAGAAAUGCCGUAUAGAAUAUUAUUUCUAGUGCCACGGGAUACGAUCGAUUAAUUAAUGUUUCAAAAUUAAAUGUUGGUUUAUUAGAGCCAUAUAAACCGAUACCCAGAAUUCCCAUUAAUAAAAAAACAGAAGCUCCUGCAGUGUACAAAAUAAACUUAGUAGCAGAGUAGAAACGUUUCUUUCCCCCCCAGAUGGAUAAAAGUAGAUAAACGGGGAUUAAUUUCAAUUCCCACAUGAUGAAAAAAAGUAAAAUGUCUCGAGAAGAAAAUGGUCCUAUUUGACCGCUAUACAUUGCUAACAUCAGGAAAUAGAAUAAUUGGUAUUCUCGAGUAACCGGCUGAGCCGCUAAAGAGGCUAAAGUAGUUAUAAAUCCUGUUAGUAAAAUGGGUCCUAUAGAGAGUCCAUCUAUUCCUAAUCUCCAGUCAAAAUCAAAAAAAUGGAUCCAUUUAUAAUUCUCCGUCAGUUGAAUUAGUGGAUCAUACAAUUGGAAAUGAUAAGAAAAUGCAUAGGUUGUUAGAAGGAGAUCGAUUAAGCAUAUACAAAUGCUAUACCACCUAAUUACCUUAUUUCCCCUAUGAGGAAAUAAGAAAAUUAAGGAACCUGCGGCUAGGAAAUGAUAAGAAAAUGCAUAGGUUGUUAGAAGGAGAUCGAUUAAGCAUAUACAAAUGCUAUACCACCUAAUUACCUUAUUUCCCCUAUGAGGAAAUAAGAAAAUUAAGGAACCUGCGGCUAUUGGAAAAACAACAACGAUUGUUAACCAAGGAAAAUAAUUCGUGAUAAAAAUAAGAUACACUUGGGCCAGAAAAGCCCGUGCUCAAAAUAGAAAAAAAAGAUUUUCUAUUUUAUUUGGAGCACGAGUUUUUGACAGUAAAAAACGUAUUCGUGUGGUGUUGUUUGAAACGAAUCAAUAAGCUAGACCCAUACUUCGAGUUGUUUCAUGCCAUAAAUAAACUCGAACACUUAAGAAAUCCGUCGGACAAGCGGACUCACACCUCCUACAACCAACACAGUCCUCUGUUCUUGGGGCAGAAGCUAUUUGCUUAGCUUUACAUCCACCCCAAGGUAUCAUUUCUAAUACAUCUGUGGGACAGGCUCGGACACAUUGAGUACAUCCUAUACAUGAUAGCUUUACAUCCACCCCAAGGUAUCAUUUCUAAUACAUCUGUGGGACAGGCUCGGACACAUUGAGUACAUCCUAUACAUGUAUCAUAAAUCUUUACUGAAUGUGACAUUAUAUCUAUAGUAAUUGUCGAUGUUCAAAAAUGAAAAUUAUUGAUCUAGUAAACUCGUAAAUGAAUCGUAUAUUUAUAUACCAGAUGAAUCAAUGAUUUGUGAUAAUAUUGUUAACUGUUAAUAAAAAAAGGUGUCUAGAUAAAUUUGGAAGAGGGAAUAGAAGAGGACCAGGAUACUUUGAUUUCUUAUGAUUUAGGCAAUCCAAACAUGAUAUGAUCAUAAGUUGUGUCGAAUAAAUACUCAAAUGAAUUGAUUAAUAUUUCACUAUGUGAAAUUAGACUUUAUUAUUAAUUAUGAUAGGAUUAAUGCUAUUUAUUCAACAAAUUCGAUUGAUUGAUACGGGUUGAUUUUCUGUUACGAGCAAUUGAAGAAACAAUAGGCAGUCCGAUAGCCGCUUCAGCGGCUGCAAUAGUUAUAACAAAAAUUGAAAAAAUAUUUCCUUUUAAUUGGCGAUUAUCAAAAAAAUCAGAAAAGGUUACUAGAUUUAUAUUAACUACAUUCA